rnacentral:lncRNA from 1 species
CGUGUCAAUGAAUUCAUUAUCAAGUCAGUAAUAUCAUCUGUAACAAAUAAAAUGAGACACUCUGUCUAUAUGCUUACAACUAUAUAUGUGGAUUUCACAUAGUGAAGUGCUUAAACUAUCUGACUGUAGAAUACGGACACACACUGAAACUGUCCAGCCAAAAUUUUACACGGAUUGGCAAUGGAAGGCCCAGUGAGACCGGACAAAAUAAUCGAGGAGAUUGGAGGAUGUGGGCGAUAUCAGAUUCGCAUGAGCGUUGUUGUUCACCUGAUCAAAUCUAUCGUCUACUUCAGUACUUUGUCGACCAUCAUUAUUUGUUCGACACCGCCUUGGCGAUGUGACGACAGAAUUGUUCCCGACAAUAGAACCUCGUGCAUGAUUCUGCAAAAUGAAUCAGAAGUAAACAUAUGUCCUUCCAAAACCUGUGUCCUUACGAAUGACACGAAAUUUUCUAGUUUCAUUUUCGAAGGAACACUUCAAACGAUUGUCAGCGAGGUAGGUUUCACUAUUUCUUAAACUGUAACCAUUUUUUAACAUUUGACAGUUUUAUUUCCAAAAUCAUAUCAUAGAAAACAUAAGCUAUUUCUUUGCAAAUGUACGAAUCCCAAUGCACAAAUUCAUUGCACUAGUAACUGUAAAUUUGCACUAUUGUACAGAAACAAUAUUUUUCAGUUUGGUUAAGUGUGCGGACGUGACUACAUUCCAAGUUUAAUCAUGACUUUACAAGUUGCUGGGUUACUCGCAGGAAACAUACUUGCAGGCCAGUUAUCAGAUCUGAUUGGGCGUAAACCUCCAUUCUUUACCUCCAUAAUUCUCAUAACUGUUUUCAAUCUGGUUGGUUUCUUUUCCGUAAACUGGGUCAUGUUUGCUGUUGCGAUGAUUUUCGUCGGCUUUGGAUCCGGAUUUUUCUUGUCGACACAAUAUUGCUUGUUAUCCGAAUUUUCCUUAGCAAAAUGGCGCGUGUGGAUCGUUGGUUUUCCCUCUUGGUCGGUAGAAUGAUGCGUGCUUGCUUUGUGUGCCUGGCUGAUACAGGACUGGCGAUAUAUGCAGCUCUUGACAGGCAUCAUGGGAAUCCCGUGUUUAUUUGCAUGGUUCAUAAUUCCCGAAAGUUUGCGCUGGUACAUUGGGCACGAUAAGUCUGAUAAAGCCCUUAAAGUGAUCAAUAAGCUUGCAAAGUAUAACCACCUGCCAUGAAGUGGAAUUGGGGCACCUGAUUGAUAAACCGGAAGUGAAAAAGGACCGGAAGUACACCGUCAUUGACUUGUUCAAGUCAAAGGCUCUUAUACGGAAUACAUUUCUUUCUAUUUUUAAUUGGUAAGAAACAUCGGUUGCAAACUGCAACGCAUUUUGCAGAAUUUGGAACUUGAGAGUAGAUUAGAUUAUUCAAUCUUCAUCGAUGAUUUAACAUUCAAGCUUCUUAUACCACCCCUUGAACCAGAACAAAAUGUGACCAUAGAUCAAUUAAUAGUCUGUGCAUAGAGUAGAACAAAAACUAAUAACAAAGCUGGAUUUUUUCAGUUUAAAUUACUGAAAAAUUAGUUUACACACGUGCAGUGUGGUAAUUUUGUCUACAUAAAUACAUGAAUGAUAUACAUAUGAUCGCAAAUAACGACAACCCUUAUGACAGGUAGAUAUUAAUCAGGUUCGUUUCAGAUAUAUGCAGUAAUUCAGAUAUAUUUAAGUUAAUACUGGAUAUAUUCCUACAAUGGUGAUUAGGUUCUAUGCAACACACCUUAAACUUUGAAGUAAAAAGGUACUGGUGU